CCCAGGGCUUGCGCCCUGGGCUAGAUUCUUUCGCGCCUCCGGCGCU
rfam:Acidobacteria bacterium RIFCSPLOWO2_02_FTLL_59_13 rifcsplowo2_02_scaffold_35234, whole genome shotgun sequence.